rnacentral:rRNA from 1 species
CUGUGGAGGUACCGUCAUUCUCACGGGCUGUUGACCCGGAGCCUUCGUCCCUCCUCACAGAGCUUUACACCCCGAAAGGCGUCGUCACUCACGCGGCGUUGCUGCGUCAGGCUUGCGCCCAUUGCGCAAAAUU